CUCUGUGAAACUUAAGGUUAUUAGUUAGGGUUAAGGAAGUGGAGCUCCUUGAAGUCCAAUAGAGGGUCUUGCUGGGUUGGAUUGAGCUGCUGAGCUAUGGAUACCAUAAUCCUAUCCUCUCCUCUCCAUCUUGUCUUUGGAUAGGUUUGUGGGAUGCAUAACUCAGGAGCUGCACCACCAUGGUUUGAUCCUUUUUUGGAUUGAAGGGAGCUCUACAUCUCUAUCUUCUCCUCUUCUUUAGUGUUUUUUUUUUCCUUGACUUGGGUGUAGUUGAAUCUGUUUGUUUGUUCCUUCUUUAUUUCUUUGAGUGAGUCAAGCAGGAAGUCAGAGAACCAGUCAAGGUCUGGUUUUUAUCUAUUUGGGGUUGUGGAUCUAAGCCUCCUUGAAGUCAUCUGGAACUUCAAGUUCUUAGAUCGCAGCGGAUUACAUCUGGAUGUCCAGUCUACUGCUGUGCCUCAAUGUAUUUGGGGGAGAACCAGCUAGCUCUGGGUUUGAGUGGCUUUUUUUUGUUCCUUAACAACAAAUCAUCUGCUGAUUCUUCAAAAUCAGUUGGUUCGGAUCUCCACUAAUGGAGUUGUUCAGUCUGGUCUAGACUGUUGAAAAACUGAAGUUCUGAUAUUUGGUUGCCCAUGGUGAUUUUAAAGUGUGUUCAGACCGUAGAUGAUUCUUCUCUCUCAGUUUCCUUUAGUACUUGAGAAGAAAAGCCAAGAAACAGCUGUAAUGGUGUCUGUGUAGUGUCAUUACAGCACACAGUUUGAUCAGACAAUUGUGUCCGUUAACAUUAGUUGGAUCUGCCUACGUUUUUGCGGAUGAUGUUUGCUGCGUUGUUGGAGCGAGUCGAUUGGUCAAUUGUCUUUCCGAGGAUAUUGUUAUAUAUUGAAUAUUUAUGUUACCAUGUAUUAAUUAAUUAAUUAAUUUUCAAAUUUUUUUUGAGGAAUUUAUUUCUGGUAUUGUAACAAAA